ensembl:misc_RNA 7SK 7SK RNA
GGAUGUGAGGUCGAUCUGGCUGCGACAUCUGUCACCCCACUGAUCACCAGGGUUGAUUCGGCUGAUCUGGCUGGCUAGGCGGGUGUUUCCUUCCUCCCUCACGGCUCCAUGUGCUUCCCUCCCGAAGCUGCACGCUCGGUCGAAGAGGACUACCUUCCCCGAAUAGAGGAGGACCGGUCUUCGGUCAAGUGUAUACGAGUAGCUGCGUUCCCCUGCUAGAACCUCCAAACAAGCUCUCAAAAAACAAAAAACAAAACAGCAACAACAAAAGCAAAGCAUGGAGUCUGCUUUGUCUU